UGACGUACCCUAAUUGUGUACCAAAUUUCACCUCUAGGUUCAGCGGUUUGCUCUGGGAGAUGAUGAAUCAGUCAUUCAUUCAGUCAGAACAAGUAACGUAAUAACAGGAAGUCGUAAGCUUGAAAACCAAAACCAAAACCAAAACCAUCGUGUAAGCAGUAACUUCACUUCUGGACUAGUCUUAUCGAAUAUUUUCUUCGAAUCUAUUGAUUUCCUAUAAACUACACGUGAUUAACUUACUUGUUAGAUUUAUUUUACGGAUAUUAACAGUAUAUUACAGUAUAUAGCAUGAAUAUUGAAAAGAUUAUAAACACUAGAAAUUAUUGGAUUUAAGAUAAUUAAGUACUUUUUUUUAAAUUAACGCAAAAUACAUCAAUUUUAAUUAGUUCAAAAUGUUGAUUAAAAAGUUGAGACGAUAAGAAAAUUGCUCUUAGAAUCUUAGCGUCAGAUUUCAAUAUAUCAUCUUGAUAAUUAAACAUGGAAACUCUUAAAAGCACUGAGGAGGAGCUAGAAAAUUAACCUAGCUCGAAAUGCAUCUGUAAAAGCAAUAAAAGGAAUUAUAACCUGAACUGGCUGUGAGGUAGUCUACCGAAAAGAAUUUUUUCGGAUUGAAGAGACAUUUACUGAAUCAACAUU